AGAGUUUGAUCAUGGCUCAGAACGAACGCUGGCGGCGUGCCUAACACAUGCAAGUCGAGCGCGAACGGGGCAACCCUAGUAGAGCGGCGCACGGGUGCGUAACACGUAAAUAAUCUACCUCUGUGUUCAGAAUAACCGCCCGAAAGGGUGGCUAAUGCUGAAUUCUUUGAGUGGGGCGAUGGCUCUGCUCAGCAAAACAGGCCACUUCAUGAAAGCUUGUGCAUAGAGAUGAGUUUGCGGCCCAUCAGCUAGUUGGUGAGGUAACGGCUCACCAAGGCUACGACGGGUAGCUGGUCUAAGAGGACGAUCAGCCACACUGGAACUGAGACACGGUCCAGACUCCUACGGGAGGCAGCAGUGGGGAAUUUUCCACAAUGGGCGAAAGCCUGAUGGAGCAACGCCGCGUGUGUGAUGAAGGUCUUCGGAUUGUAAAGCACUUUCGAUCGGGACGAAACUGCUUGGGCUAACACCCCAAGUCCUGACGGUACCGAGAGAAGAAGCACCGGCUAACUCUGUGCCAGCAGCCGCGGUAAUACAGAGGGUGCUAGCGUUGUUCGGAAUUAUUGGGCGUAAAGCGCGUGUAGGCGGCAUGGCAAGUUGGAUGUGAAAUCCCUCGGCUCAACCGAGGAAGUGCGUCCAAAACUACUAAGCUUGAGUGCUGGAUAGGAUGGCGGAAUUCCGCAAGUAGAGGUGAAAUUCGUAGAUAUGCGGAGGAACACCGGUGGCGAAGGCGGCCAUCUGGACAGCAACUGACGCUGAGACGCGAAAGCGUGGGGAGCAAACAGGAUUAGAUACCCCGGUAGU
rnacentral:rRNA from 1 species